UACGUAGGGGGCAAGCGUUGUCCGGAUUUAUUGGGCGUAAAGAGCGUGUAGGCGGCCAGGGAGGUCCGUUGUGAAAACUCGAGGCUCAACCUCGAGACGCCGAUGGAAACCCCCUGGCUAGAGUCCGGAAGAGGAGAGUGGAAUUCCUGGUGUAGCGGUGAAAUGCGCAGAUACCAGGAAGAACACCCGUGGCUAAGGCGGCUCUCUAGUACGGUACUGACGCUGAGACGCGAAAGCGUGGGGAGCGAACAGG
rnacentral:rRNA from 1 species